AGAAAAGUAAGCUAAACAAAGCUAAUGGGUUCAUACCCCAUUUAUAGAGGCACCCUCUCUUCUCUG
rnacentral:tRNA from 1 species